CUUGUGCAAGACAGAACUCACCUCUUUUCUUGCAGAAAGACCUGGAGCGUUUGGCGCCUUCAGGGGAGCCAGGCAUUUGCUUGGUCUCCCCUAAUCCUGGGAACCUGCUGUGUUGCAGAUGAGGCUUCUCCCGCCCGUGUGGCAGGGCUGGCCGCUGACACCCCUCCCUGGCAGAUGGGGGCUUAUCCCACAGACCUGACCCUGCAGCUGCUGGCUGUGUGGAGGAAGAGCGGGCUAUAGGAACCCGGCCUACAGCAGACCCUCCGGGGCCAGCUCCGCCUGCUGGAGAAUGACAGCCGGGAGAUGGCCUGCGUGCUCAGGGAAUUAUCAGCCAGGCUGCUGUCGAUCCACAGUGACCAGGACCGGAUCGUGGUGACGUUUAAGGCUUUUGAAGAAAUCUGGAAGUUUUCCACUUACCACGCUCUUGGCUUCACUCAUCACUGCCUGGCAAACCUGCUUAUGGACCAGGCCUUCUGGCUGCUCUCGCCCAGUGAGGAGGAGGAGACGGCCAUCCAAGUCCAUGUGGAUGAGAACGCCUUGAGGCUGACCCACGAGAGCCUCCUUGUCCAAGAAGGUGGGCUCUUAGGAUCCCCCAGGACCCCAUCGAUGACGCCAUGGGUGGCCCUGUGACGCCCGACAACCUGCUGAUGGGUAAGUGUUUCCAUGGGCCUCUCUUUCCCGGGGAAAGGUGUGUGCCAGGGAGCAGCACCAACAUU
rnacentral:lncRNA from 1 species